rnacentral:rRNA from 1 species
GACGAACGCUGGCGGCGUGCUUAACACAUGCAAGUCGAACGGAAAGGCCCUGCUUUUGUGGGGUGCUCGAGUGGCGAACGGGUGAGUAACACGUGAGUAACCUGCCCUUGACUUUGGGAUAACUUCAGGAAACUGGGGCUCAUACCGGAUAGGAGCUCCUGCUGCAUGGUGGGGGUUGGAAAGUUUCGGCGGUUGGGGAUGGACUCGCGGCUUAUCAGCUUGUUGGUGGGGUAGUGGCUUACCAAGGCUUUGACGGGUAGCCGGCCUGAGAGGGUGACCGGCGACAUUGGGACUGAGAUACGGCCCAGACUCCUACGGGAGGCAGCAGUGGGGAGUAUUGCACAAUGGGCGGAAGCCUGAUGCGGCAACGCCGCGUGCGGGAUGACGGCCUUCGGGUGGUAAACCGCUUUCGCCUGUGACGAAGCGUGAGUGACGGUAAUGGGUAAAGAAGCACCGGCUAACUACGUG